rnacentral:rRNA from 1 species
UACGUAGGGUGCAAGCGUUUAAUCGGAAUUACUGGGCGUAAAGCGUGCGCAGGCGGUUUUUGUAAGUCAGAUGUGAAAUCCCCGGGCUUAACCUGGGAACUGCGUUUUGAAACUACAAGGCUAGAGUGUGGCAGAGGGGGUGGAAUUCCACGUGUAGCAGUGAAAUGCGUAGAGAUGUGGAGGAACACCGAUGGCGAAGGCAGCCCCUGGGUUAACACUGACGCUCAGGCACGAAAGCGUGGGGAGCAAACAGG